CGCAUCUUUAUUAAGCAUUUUUUUAUAUUUUGUAGACUGUAUAAUGGAAAGCUUACUAGCAUGUGCCCAACAUUAACUCUUAUGUACAGCUGCAUAAGGACAUAUUUAAAUACUAGUAACAUUUUCAAAACGUAUUUGGAACAGAUAUUCCCUUACAAACCAAACAAGUGGACGUACUUCAUUGCUUGGAAGGCCUGAAACAAGCUGGCCAGCACUGUGUCACAAGCACUUGCAGUUGCAAUGGGUACAAUGUGCAUGUCCAUACUGAGAAAUUUUAUCAGCCAAGUUAGCGUCUGCAUCACCACAAAUUGAGUUAUAACCAGGAAAACAUGUUUUACAAAACUGGGCUACCAUUAAUAUAAUAAUAGCAAAUAGCAUGUGACCAAAGUCAUGCAACUGUUUGGUAAGAAUGCACAAUUUUUUCACAGUGGAAUAUUCAGCAAGCAAAGAUAUACCAUAAAAAUAAGAAUGUUCAAGCCCAGCAAGGUGAGAAAAUAUACAUAUAACAUAUUUCAAUUAAAGUGCGCUGAAAUGUUAAGUGUAAGUGUUUUGUAAAUCUUUUUACACUGAAUAAAAUAAACGGCCUGUCCUAGCAUGCCCUUAGGAAAUAUUUUGGCUGUAGUAUGCUGCAUAGCCUACAUAUUUUGCAUGGAGUGCUUUGUUAUUUCAUUAUUAACUGGUGCAUUUGGCAAUCUUAUUUCCGAAAGUGUUAAUUAUCAGGAAUUCAAUAUGAACACAAAGUGGCCAAACUGGAAACCAUUUGUGUUUUCAGCUUGGACUACUUUGGCCUAAAAUUUUAAAUUCCAUUUGAAUGCAUUGAGAAAUCCUAACAUUUCACACUAUAGUGAAUAACAUUGUCUGUCUUUGAAGAGAUACUUAAGACUAAAGUCCAUGCUUAUUUGAAUGUCUCAGAUAGAGGAUUUAACAAGAGGCUUGGCAUAUAGCUGCCAUGAUUUUUUGCAAAUUACUGCUGUUGUGGAAUUCUCUGUAGUUAGACAGGGUUGUUGUUCUCCUUGCACCAUAAUCUAGAUAAAAAGCAUAGGUCUAGUGCUUGGAAUGGACCUUUGAUCGGUACCAGUCCAGCAUAAGCACACAGGUCCAUCUAAAAAUGAAAAGGCUGUAGAAUGUAGAACACACAGCAGCCAGAACCUGUAAAAUAAAUUAUUUAUUUAUUG